UACGGUAGGGGCAAGCGUUGUCCGGAUUUAUUGGGCGUAAAGAGCGUGUAGGCGGCCACACAGGUCUGCUGUGAAAACUCGAGGCUCAACCUCGAGCUGUCGGUGGAAACCGUGUGGCUAGAGUCCGGAAGAGGAGAGUGGAAUUCCUGGUGUAGCGGUGAAAUGCGCAGAUAUCAGGAAGAACACCCGUGGCGAAGGCGGCUCUCUGGUACGUGACUGACGCUGAGACGCGAAAGCGUGGGGAGCAAACAGG
rnacentral:rRNA from 1 species